GACGAGCGCUGGCGGCGUGCUUAACACAUGCAAGUCGUACGGUAAGGCCCUUUCGGGGGUACACGAGUGGCGAACGGGUGAGUAACACGUGAGUAACCUGCCCACAACUUUGGGAUAACGCUAGGAAACUGGUGCUAAUACUGGAUAUGUGCUCCUGCUGCAUGGUGGGGGUUGGAAAGCUCCGGCGGUUGUGGAUGGACUCGCGGCCUAUCAGCUUGUUGGUGGGUUAGUGGCCUACCAAGGCGGCGACGGGUAGCCGGCCUGAGAGGGUGACCGGCCACAUUAGGACUGAGAUACGGCCCAGACUCCUACGGGAGGCAGCAGUGGGGAAGAUUGCACAAUGGGCGCAAGCCUGAUGCAGCAACGCCGCGUGCGGGAUGACGGCCUUCGGGUUGUAAACCGCUUUCAGCAGGGACGAAGCUUUUUGUGACGGUACCUGCAGAAGAAGCACCGGCUAACUACGUG
rnacentral:rRNA from 1 species